GCCAUAAGUGAGCGCCUGAGCACGCUGGCCUGGCGAUGCAGCCUGUGUUCUGUGUGCAUGUGAACUGACAGCCCUGCACAGAGGAAGAGCCUUGCCUGCCCACAGUGGCACCUGCUGCCUUUUGUCUGUCUUGAUGCAGCCAUGCCUGCCACCCCCACAGUGCUGUCCCUAGUCCUCAUCAUAUGCGGUUCACGUGCCAUCUCGCUAGCUGUGCUGCCCAUCUGGGAGUUCAAUACAGAGUUUCUAGAAGCUUCUACUGCAUGGUUAGGCCACAGUAUGGAAAUGCUGAGGUUAAACUCAGCCCUGGCCAUUUUAAUCCUGAAUGAAGAAAUGUGUCACCCACAGUUGUAGCCCAAAGCACAGGGCAACAGUUGUCUAGGAACCCCUCCAGCGCUGGUCUGAAUGAACAGAGUGGACGUUCAACUGGUGGCACUGGAGUGGCACUCCUGGAAGGCUCCCUUGAGUGGCAGCUGCUCUGUCUCAGGUCUGGCUGUUGUGCUCCCUGGGGCUGUGGGCACCAGCCAGGCCUCUGGCCCUCAUCAGCUGAGGUCUGAGAUGAGGGAGGGAGUCCCCCUCCACACCCGAGGUCUGUAACUGGGCCUGAGACAGGACAGGAGUUUGCUAGAGGCAAAGGUGGCAGCCCAGUGGCUGUGUGGGCUGGCAACUGAAAACCAUACAAACACAGAAAUACCUUUUUGGGGGGGUCAGAGAUGGCUCUGAGGCCUCAGGUGUCAGCUCCCAUGCUGGAGGGCAAGGGGAGCAAGGGAGGCAAGAGGCAAGAGAGAGAGCACACCUGAACCCCCACCCCCCACACUAUUUAUUGUGGAAAAGCCAUUCAUAGAAUAUUCUACUCAAAUAAGGCAAGGGAUUGGGUUUUAAAGGCUGGCCUUGCUUGGUGAUGUCUUGUGGUCAGCAGGUUGAUUGACACCUUGGAAAGCCACACCCAUCUCAGGUGCUGUGUGGGAUCACAGGCAGAGUGAGAGUAAAGGCACUCAUGUGUGGCACAGCCCUCAAAACGCAUAAUGCCAGACCCCUUGUAUGCACAAAUGCACACAGUUCACACACAGCCCACGGGUGGCUCGCGACAGCAGCUGAGUCAUCCAGUCUGCAGAGGUCCUCAUAAACUCUCGCUCCUAAUCUCUUGUGCACCUCACAGACUGGACAAGAUUUCUCCUGGGCUGCAGUAACAAACCACCACCAACCUGGAAGUGCAAAGCAGCACAGGCUCAUCUCACAGUGGGGCCUGACUCUGAGAGCAAGGCCUCCCCAGGGGGCUCCUCCUGACCUCCAGGGAGGGCCGACCCAUCCUUCCCAGAUCCUGAGACUGUGUACUCCUUGGCUGGUGGCCGCAGCUCUCCCACCUGCUUCUCUCUGACUGCCUGCCCUCCUAAUGAUCACUGGGGAGCCUAGGCAGACGGCCCAGGGCAGCCUCAUCUCAGGUCCUGGGUUCCCUCACACCUGAGUCCCUUUGCAGCCCCCAAGCUGGUGGGGAGUAUAACGCCCCCUCUCCUUCCCCAGUGGGGGCUCCCAGAGCUAAGCCUGCCACCUAGGGUCGUGGGGUGGCUGGCCUGCACGUGCCACGUUCCCACCCCAUCUCUGAGCUCUUGGACAUGUAUGUCCAAGAGAGGUCUGUGACAACCCUGGUAAGGUCAAGGGGGUGACACCACCACCAGGAGGCAAGGCCCAGGGCAGUGAGGAGCUGGGACCACCGCCAUGUCUUCACCCCUGGCCUUGCCCUGCUGGAGCCUUCCUGUGGGAUGAAAGGCGGACAGGGACCUGAGAGGACGCUGACCCCUGUCCAGGCGCCCUGUCAGCAGCAGCAGCAGCAGCUCCCUGGGGAUGUGGAGGGCCAGGUCCUCUUUUGCUGGCAAGGGUCCCAGAGGUCAGGCCUUGGGGGCUGUGCAUGCAGAGCUGGCCCCUGCAGCAUCCAGCUGGGCCCCCGGGAGUGGCUCUCCUGUCACUGAGCCCUCAACACAAAUGCUGCUUUAUUUAUUUACACAUCGAGGGGUCACGGGGCAGCAAGAUCCCUCGCUGCAGGCAGAGGGCUGUCGGCACGGAGUUGUCACUCCCAGCAUCUCACCGGAGCCUCUGGGCAGGCGAUGCUGUGACUGGCUUUCUCAGACUUGACAGGAAGGGCCAGGUGCAUGAUGAACUGCUUCUUCCUGCCUCUCUGCCAGUACUUGUGCCCCUUGCCCUGCCAGGUAAGGACAUGGAGAAGGGGUUCAUCUCGCCUCCUUCACCAUGAGCCUCUGGAGCGGUCCUCAUCAUUUAAAAAGUGACAAGCACUGCUUUGGGGGCAUGUUGCACCCACUACCUGCUGGGAACCUCAGGAGAGGCAGGACCCAGGCAGGGAUUCAAGGCCUGGUCACCCACCCUGGGGCUGCACAGACACUGCCUGUGGACAAGUAGAGGAAUACACACUCAAAUCUGUCCUCAGCAGUGCUACAGGCUGAGAGGCUCAAGGGCCUGCAGGCCUUGCUGGGCUGCUCUCCUUGUGGCAGACACUGUUUUGGCUUGUCAUAGGACAGGCAGCUUGGCAAAGGUGGAAGGGCAAAUCCUACCCACUGGUGUUCUGAAUGUCAAUUAAUAAUUUUGUUCUGCCUGGAACUCAGCUGACUUCAUCC
rnacentral:lncRNA from 1 species